AGUGAACGCUGGCGGUAGGCCUAACACAUGCCAGUCGAACGGCAGCACAGUAAGAGCUUGCUCUUACGGGUGGCGAGUGGCGGACGGGUGAGGAAUAUAUCGUAAUCUACUUUUUCGUGGGGGAUAACGUAGGGAAACUUACUCUAAUACCGCAUACGACCUACGGUUGAAAGCAGUGGAUCUUCUGACCUUGCGCGAUUGAAUGAGCGGAUGUCGGAUUAGCUAGUUGGGGGGGUAAAGGCCCACCAAGGCGCCGAUCCGUAGCUGGACUGAGAGGAGGGUCGGCCGCCAUGGAACUGGACCAGCGUCCAGGCUCCUACGGGAGGCAGCAGUGGGGAAUAUUGGACAAUGGGCGCAAGCCUGAUCCAGCCAUACCGCGUGGGUGAAGAAGGCCUUCGGGUUGUAAAGCCCGUUUGUUGGGAAAGAAAAGCAGCAGGUUAAUACCACGCUGUUCUGACGGUACCCAAAGAAUAAGCACCGGCUAACUUCGUG
rnacentral:rRNA from 1 species